UACGUAGGGGGCUAGCGUUGUCCGGAAUCAUUGGGCGUAAAGCGCGCGUAGGCGGCCAGAUAAGUCCGGUGUGAAAGUCAAAGGCUCAACCUUUGAAUGCCGCUGGAAACUGUCUGGCUAGAGUCCGGAAGGGGCGAGUGGAACUCCUGGUGUAGCGGUGAAAUGCGCAGAUAUCAGGAAGAACACCCGUGGCGAAGGCGGCUCUCUGGAACGCAACUGACGCUGAGACGCGAAAGCGUGGGGAGCAAACAGG
rnacentral:rRNA from 1 species